AUGUUGAAUUAUGUUGAGUUACAUAGUUCAGAGAGGAAUUAUUAUGAUGGCCUUAUAUUGACAAUAUUUAUGUUGAGAUAUGUAGUUCAGAGAGGAACUGGGAUGGUGGUCUUAUAUUGGCGAUGUUGUAGGUUCAGAGAGGAACCGAUGAUGAUUAUUGUAUUGAUAUUGUUUGUUGCAUUUCACGCAUCAUAUAUAUCGGAGAUAGGUAGGACUUCAGUCCAAUGA